AUUGAACGCUGGCGGCAUGCUUUACACAUGCAAGUCGAACGGUAACAGGGACUUCGGUCUGCUGACGAGUGGCGAACGGGUGAGUAACAUAUCGGAACGUGCCCAGUAAUGGGGGAUAGCUCGGCGAAAGCCGGAUUAAUACCGCAUACGCCCUGAGGGGGAAAGUGGGGGAUCUUCGGACCUCACGUUAUUGGAGCGGCCGAUAUCGGAUUAGCUAGUUGGUGGGGUAAAGGCCUACCAAGGCGACGAUCCGUAGCUGGUCUGAGAGGAUGAUCAGCCACACUGGGACUGAGACACGGCCCAGACUCCUACGGGAGGCAGCAGUGGGGAAUUUUGGACAAUGGGCGCAAGCCUGAUCCAGCCAUGCCACGUGCGGGAAGAAGGCC
rnacentral:rRNA from 1 species